rnacentral:rRNA from 1 species
UACGUAGGGGCCGAGCGUUGUCCGGAAUUACUGGGCGCGAAGCGCGCGUAGGCGGCCGCAUGCGCCCGGCGUGAAAGCCCCCGGCUCAACCGGGGAGCGUCGUCGGGGACGGUGCGGCUUGAGGGCGAGAGGGGCCGGUGGAAUCCCUGGUGUAGUGGUGAAAUGCGUAGAGAUCAGGGGGAACACCCGUGGCGAAGGCGGCCGGCUGGCUCGACUCUGACGCUGAGGCGCGAAGGCGUGGGGAGCGAACGGG